rnacentral:rRNA from 1 species
UACGUAGGGUGCGAGCGUUAAUCGGAAUUACUGGGCGUAAAGCGUGCGCAGGCGGUAUGCAAGACAGAGUGAAAUCCCCGGGCUCAACCUGGGAACUGCUUUGUGACUGCAUAGCUAGAGUACGGUAGAGGGGGAUGGAAUUCCGCGUGUAGCAGUGAAAUGCGUAGAUAUGCGGAGGAACACCGAUGGCGAAGGCAAUCCCCUGGACCUGUACUGACGCUCAUGCACGAAAGCGUGGGGAGCAAACAGG